CUUAGGAUGAAUGCUGGCGGCAUGCCUAAUACAUGCAAGUCGAGCGGCAGCGAGGGUCUCAUCCUGUUCUUGAAGCUUUCGAGAAUAGAAUGAGAUCUGUCGGCGAGCGGCGGACGGCUGAGUAACGCAUGGGAACGCACCCCAAACUGAGGGAUAACCAGUCGAAAGAUUGGCUAAUACCGCAUGUGAUCUUCGGAUUAAAGCCUUCGGGCGGUUUGGGAGCGGCCUGUGUACGAUUAGAUAGUUGGUGAGGUAAUGGCUCACCAAGUCGACGAUCGUUAGAUGGUUUGAGAGGAUGAUCAUCCAGACUGGGACUGAGACACGGCCCAGACUCCUACGGGAGGCAGCAGUAGGGAAUCUUUCACAAUGGGCGAAAGCCUGAUGGAAGCAAUGCCGCGUGCAGGACGAAGGCCUUCGGGUUGUAAACUGCUUUUAUAAGCGAGGAAUAUGACGGUAACUUAUGAAUAAGGAUCGGCUAACUACGUGCCAGCAGCAGC
rnacentral:rRNA from 1 species